CAGUAGCCGCGGGAAUACGUAGGGUGCAAGCGUUAAUCGGAAUUACUGGGCGUAAAGCGUGCGCAGGCGGUCCGCUAAGACAGAUGUGAAAUCCCCAGGCUUAACCCGGGAACUGCAUUUGUGACUGGCGGGCUAGAGUAUGGCAGAGGGGGGUAGAAUUCCACGUGUAGCAGUGAAAUGCGUAGAGAUGUGGAGGAAUACCGAUGGCGAAGGCAGCCCCCUGGGACAACACUGACGCUGAAGCACGAAAGCGUGGGGAGCAAACAGGAUUAGAGACCCCUGUAGUCCCUGUCUCUUAUAU
rnacentral:rRNA from 1 species